rnacentral:rRNA from 1 species
UACGUAGGAGGCAAGCGUUAUCCGGAUUCACUGGGCGUAAAGCGCGUGCAGGCGGUUCGGUAAGUUGGGCGUGAAAUCUCCUGGCUCAACUAGGAGAGGUCGUUCAAUACUACCGGGCUAGAGAGUGGUAGAGGAAGAUGGAAUUCCCGGUGUAGUGGUGAAAUGCGUAGAUAUCGGGAGGAACACCAGUGGCGAAGGCGAUCUUCUGGACCAUUUCUGACGCUCAGACGCGACAGCUAGGGUAGCAAACGGG